rnacentral:rRNA from 1 species
AUUGAACGCUGGCGGCAGGCUUAACACAUGCAAGUCGAGCGAGCGGCGGACGGGUGAGUAAUGUCUGGGAAACUGCCUGAUGGAGGGGAAUAACUACUGGAAACGGUAGCUAAUACCGCAUACCAUCAGAUGUGCCCAGAUGGGAUUAGCUGGGAGGUGGGGUAAUGGCUCACCUUGGCGACGAUCCCUAGCUGGUCUGAGAGGAUGACGCGCCAAACGGGAACUGAUAUACGGUCCAGACUCCUACGGGCGGCAGCAGUGGGGAAUAUGGGACAAGGGGCUCAAGCCGGAUGCAGCCAUGCCGAGUGUGUGAAGAAGGCGUUCGGGUUGUAAAGCACUUUCAGCGAGGAGGCGUUACGCGCAGAAGAAGCACCGGCUAACUCCGUGCCAGCAGCCGCGGUAAUAC